ACUUUUAAAGGAACUAGAAACCCAUUAGCCUUAG
rnacentral:tRNA from 1 species